GACCGUGGCAGGUCUUUUUCUGUUUUCCUUUCUUUUGCUCUCCCCUUCUCCUGUAUUUCCCUUUGGUUUUCUUCCUUUUCCUCAUCAUCGAUGACCAUAUCAUCCUAAUCUUUCGAUCUCAGUUUUACCUCUCCCUAUCUUUCUCUCCUUUAUCAAUUCUCAGAUUCUUCACUCUUCAGGUGUUAUAUUGAUGGUGCACAAUGAUGUUAUGUAUGGUUCUAAGUUUUGGAAAUCUCAGUUUGAGUGGGUUAUGGUUUGUUCAUAUCUCUUGGUUGCAAAUUCAUGAUGUCUCUGUGUCAUGAAAUGGAUCGGUUUGUGAUGGUUUCGGCACAAGCUUUUUCCUUCUCCAUGUCAUUAAUUGAUCUGAAACUGCUGUGGUGUUCUCACGUUAGGUUGAUUUCGGCGUUCUCCAGGAUUUCGGCAAAUUGGGUGCUGUCUCUGUGGCACCUAGAGGUUUGACGAGUGGCAGUGGCUGUAUUGACACGUGUUCUCUUUUCCUGUCUUGGAUGGUUUGCCUCCUAGUUGGAUAAUGAUAAUUUGUUUACUGUGGAGUUCAUCUUGUUUGGUUUGGUCUUUAUCUUGUUUGAUUUUUGUUUCACCCAGUUCAUGGGUUUUGUAAUUAUGCUUGUAUAGCUUUUAUUAUUCAAUAAAACUUAGACUUCCACUGU